UAUCCCCUCCUCCUUUCCCUCCUCCUCCUCCCCUUCCCUCCCCUCACUUCCUCUCCCUUCCCAAACCCCAGCUCGCAUCACCCUUCCCGCCUCCUCCCACCCCUCCCCUUUCUCCUCCCACUUCCUCCUUCCUUCUCCCUCUCGAGAAGGACCCGAAAAGCUGGAGUCGGCUUCUGCUGUCCCUGGAGUGGCCUGUGCACACCAGUCCCCUCCCUGCCCCUGGACAGCCCCCCUGCUCCUGCCGGGCUGCAAGCUGCGAGGCCUUCAGAUGGGGGCACCCUUGGACCUGGCCUCCUUCAAGAGGCAGGGGCACAGACCUCCGCGACUAAGGUCCAGCGGGACUUGCAUCCCGUCCUCGUCUAGACGGUCUAGAAGAGGCUUCCGUAAUAUAGGCUUUAUUCUGUUCGAAGUAAUAGGAAAUAUCCUUUAUCAGGCCCUUCCCUGGCUCUCCACUCUCCUGCUUUGGGUGUCCAAGGACAGGACCUCCAGCCUAGCUUCUUGAGGCCAAACCUCUCCCUCUCUCUCUGCCCCAAAAGCCACCUCCCAGUCUUCCUGAGAAGCUGAUGCUCCCUUAAAAUCUGCUGCCCCCAGCUCUCCACUGUCCAUUAUGAAUCGGCCACAGGUGAGGCACCCGUUCUCAGCUAUUAGAACAUGUUCACUGAAGUUGUCCCCUGCCUACCAUUUGAAGGUCCACUCAACAGACCCCUCUCAAAGCCAAGAAAACAUGUGCUUCUCCUGACCUGCUGGAGGGGGAGUUUCUACCACAGGGCUGAGCACUAGGACAGAGGCUUCACAGAAACUAAUCAUCUCUCCCUUCUCUCCCUCUGUGCCUUGGAUGUGUUUCCACUGAUGCACUUAAUACCUCAAGAUGUGGUUUGUUUACCUGUCGGUCUCCUCACUGGAGUCCAGUCCUUUAGGGCGUAUCUUUUCAUCUGACAUCCCCAGGGCCCAACACUGAAAUUUCGUGGAAAUGAGUGUUGCUGGGACGGUCGUUGAAAGGCAGUGUAGCGUAGGGGUGAAGUCAGAGGGCCUAGGAUCACAUUCCCAGCUCCACUGCUUGCCAGCUAUAUAGCCUUUGGAGGAGUCGUUUAAAUGUGGUAUGCCUCAGUUUCCUCAUCUGUAAAAUGGGACAAAAACAGCACCCACCUCAUAAAGUUACGUGAGGACUGAAUGAGUUAACAACCUAUCUCCUCUCACCUACAGUGCACCAUGAUUUUAGAUCCCACAAAGAAAGAAGGAAAGGCUGCGACACAGUCUGUGACACAGUGCUUUUUUAGCAGUGUCAGAGAUGAUAAAAAAAAAAUGUUUAAAAUGUCUGCAUAAAACAGGAGAGUAACUACAUACAAUACAUGCUAUCUACGUGACAGCUACUGUCACUGUUGUUGAACUGCUUUCUCACAAAAGCCCCAUGAUGAGUGAGUUAAUCCUCACUUCACAGAUGAGGAAACAGAGAUUUGGAGAGAUGAAGGCUCUUGGGGCCAGUGAACCCUCAGCAGGCAUUUAAACCUGCCUUUGAGGUGCAAUAAUCUACAGUUAUUACAAUAGCUGGCAGUCGCCCACCAAGCUACCAGGGAGUUAGGAGCUGGGUUUUGUUCUCAAUUGCAUUAGCUUUCCUUAAUCUAAGUUUCUUCCCCCUCUGGUAUAAUAACUCUGCUUCUUCCUCCCCCUCCUCCCUUGUACUUGGCUCUGAUCUUGUUACUUUUCUGUUAAUGGCUCCGGGUUUUACUGUAUCUGCUAUUUGAAUGGUAAAGGGACCUCGAAUCUCUUAUGGAGGUAGGAGGGGUAUAAAUAAAUAGAAAGGUCAAAAUUCGCUUUUAAAGAUGACACAUCGCAAGAAAAAGUGAGAGAGAAUAUGCCCACGGUCACACAUGGGGAUGUAUAUAUGUGGACACCCUGAGUAUCCACACCCGCAGUGCUCCCUCCAGUGCUACCGCUGAGAGACUCUGAUGCUAGGUGUCCCGACACAGUGCAGAACUCGGCUUGCCCCUCAAGCUGACUUAUCUGUCACCCCAGACUCAGUUUUUUUCCCAUAACCCAGUGAGACGCUAUAGAGUAAAGAGGUAGAGAGGAGCUUGAGAGGUUAUGGGGGCUGGAGAUAGCAAACUCUUCUAGGACCUUCUCUGGGGGCUGGAGGUAGCGAACUCUUCUAGGACCUUCUCAGGCUCUCCUUGGUACCUACCCCCCAAAAGAACUAUCCGCCUGAACAAGUGUUAAGUUUCUAGCUCACUAUUGCAAUGAGUCUGAGGCAAAGGAGAGCAUCCCAUUAGCUCCAAACUAAAGCAGUGUAAAAGGUGAGUAUCACUGUUUUUAACAUCAGAAAGGGAACCACCAAGAUGUAUUUUGUUUAGGGUUUUGUGGUCUCCCCACAACCGAGGCAGCCGAGGACCCAUGGCUGUCAAGAUCACAGAAGGAUUCCACUUGCCACUUCUGCCCAUCGCUUCACCAAGUGAGGAACCCCAAUUUUCUACCUCUUCCGCCAAGCUUGUAGUGUUCAUGUUAACAGAUAACCAACAGAACAGGGCACAGUAUUGUCCUGGGUUUUUGCCUCCCAAGUAGGGAAGCCACGGGCUGGCCAGAGAGUUGUAUUUUGUGAAUUCGCGUAGGUUUUUCGGGAAGGGAUCAGGGUGGAAGGGGUCUUUCCAAAACCCCUCUCAACCCUCCCACAUGACCUGAGACCAGAGAGGGGCUGCAAGCUGGGUGAGGAAGGGAGUUUGAGAAGGGCGAUUGCACAGAGGGCUUUGCCACGGGAAGCAGUGAGAACAUGCCAUCCCUCAGUACCCCUGAAUGAAGCCUACUGUUCUUCCUCCAAGACUGAAUAAAAAUGUAUUCUACGCUCAGAUCCACCAGACAAAGAAGGAAUAUAGCAACAAAGCAGGGGAGAGAUGAAAAUGGGCAGUCGGCUGUUCAUUCACAUACAUGUAGUUCAUCUGCAAGGCUUCCAAGAAAGCAGCCGCACACCAAAUCCUUUCCGACGCUGCUGUAUCUGAGCCUCCUGUGAGAUAAUCCUCUUAAUGGAAUAUUUAAGAAAUCGGAUAUAAAUCACCAACCUUUUAUCUCACCUGAAGAUCCAUACUCCAUUGGACGGAUGGUGUAUAUGUCUCUCUCCAUACGGAUGGGUGCAGGUGACUUUUCGAGCGGAGGUGGCAAUCUCUGCUUUUUUUAUUUUGAAGAUAGGGUUGUAAAGUUAUAAAUUUUAGAGAUCAGAGCCCAGAAAACAGCUGCACCUAGAGACAAUUAAAACACACAUCCCUUGGAAAAAACCUUUUUUGUCAUUUGCAACCAACAAAAAUGCCUGUUAUUGUGAUGUGCUCAUAAAUAACUUGAUUUUGGCAUAUGCUUUUGUACCAAACAGAAGAUGAAUAAAUUAAAUUUGAUUUACAACCUUUUUCAUUUUUAUUAGCACUGCUCUGAAGAGUUUAUGUAAGGGACGUGCCAGAGCAGUUAUGCCAAAUGUUUUAAGGCGUUGGUAUUGAUAUUAUAUAAAUUAAGGUGUUUUAAUUUGCAUUCUUUAAUUAACUAAAUACUGGCAGAAAAAUAAAACACAAGGGCAGCCCUGACUUAUUGCCUCUGUUAAACUGCUGACGUCUCUGAAAAGAUGCUUUAAGUAAUCCAAUUCAUGCAGAGUGGGGGAGGAAGGGGUAUUAACACUCUCUUAUUUGGCAAAACACAUUGCAGUUGAAGAAACCAAUAUCCUGCUUUGUUUGCACAGUGGUUGAGGUGGUGGUGUGUUUUUAGACAGCCUGCGUUCAUGUCCCCAAGGAAGAAGUUGACCAAAUGUCUUAACUAUGCACCCUGCCCAGGUCUGAGCGGAGGGGCCAAAGGGGAGCCCAGCCCUGCCACUGGGUAUAAGCAGGUUCCUGGGUGCAGGGUCCUGCAGACCUGGGCUAUAUCACUGCCAUUCUAAAAAGAGACAAGCUGGUUGAAUUAAUCCAGUAGAUCCCAUGUCAACAUGAUCAUGUCCAGAAACCAAGGAGAGAAAUCGUCAGAUUCUUCAGCACAAUGAGCUGCUUCUGAUCAAUGCUUCCAGUCACACAUAGGCCUCAAACUAAAAAAAAAAAAAAAAAAAAAAAAAAAAAGUUUUCUAAAAAUAUAUGCUGGGAGUACUUCAAUUCUUUUCCAUACCCUGGGUCCUGGGUCCUGUCGUCAGCUCCAGAGACUUUCUUUUUUUUUUAAUUUUUUUUUUUUAAUGUUUACUCAUUUUUGACAGGGAGAGAGAGAGAGAGAGCAUGAGCAGGGGAGGGGCAGAGAGAGGGAGACACAGAAUCCAAAGCAGACUCCAGGCUCUGAGCUGUCAGCACAGAGCCCAACCUGGGGCUCGACUCACAAACUGUGAGAUCGUGACCUGAGCCGAAGUCGGACGCCCAACCAACUGAGCCACCCAGGCACCCUUACAGAGACUUUCUUAAAAC
rnacentral:lncRNA from 1 species